UGGGGAAUAUUGCACAAUGGGCGCAAGCCUGAUGCAGCCAUGCCGCGUGUGUGAAGAAGGCCUUCGGGUUGUAAAGCACUUUCAGCGGGGAGGAAGGCGGUGAGGUUAAUAACCUCAUCGAUUGACGUUACCCGCAGAAGAAGCACCGGCUAACUCCGUGCCAGCAGCCGCGGUAAUACGGAGGGUGCAAGCGUUAAUCGGAAUUACUGGGCGUAAAGCGCACGCAGGCGGUCUGUCAAGUCGGAUGUGAAAUCCCCGGGCUCAACCUGGGAACUGCAUUCGAAACUGGCAGGCUAGAGUCUUGUAGAGGGGGGUAGAAUUCCAGGUGUAGCGGUAAAAUGCGUAGAGAUCUGGAGGAAUACCGGUGGCGAAGGCGGCCCCCUGGACAAAGACUGACGCUCAGGUGCGAAAGCAUGGGGAGCAAACAGGAUUAGAUACCCUGGUAGUCCACGCUGUAAACGAUGUCGAUUUGGAGGUUGUGCCCUUGAGGCGUGGCUUCCGGAGCUAACGCGUUAAAUCGACCGCCUGGGGAGUACGGCCGCAAGGUUA
rnacentral:rRNA from 1 species